GGUAGGAUCAGACUGGGAGAAGCUUGGGAUGCUGUGAAGUUUCAACUCUCAACUUUACAGAAGGGGAGUCCCUGAAGGUCUCUGAGCAGAAGUAUGCUGCAGCAAGAGCAGGUACUCUUGCAGCUGCUGAAGGAUGUACUGCAGUGGAAGCCAGCUGAGACCUGAGCUAAUGCCACUGCGGCCACCACUACUCUAGACUGGGGAGAAAAGAUAAAGAUGGCAACAGGACGCGAGUGGAGAGUAGUUGCAGAUGACCUCUAGAGCCCCUCCUAGCUCUUUCUAGAGUCGACGACUUCAAGAUGGGUAAGACGUACUCCCACCGGCCUGCCUGGGCCCCGGGCUGUGGAGCACGGCGCCUCCAAGCUGGCGCCCUGACGACGAGAGCCACUCCUGACGCCUCUCGCCCGCGGCCGCCAGCGGCACGGAAAGUAUGGCACGCACCCAGGGUGGUGCGUGAGGGCAGAGGAGCAGGCCAGGAGCGCGGCCGGGCAUGGGCCGAGGCAGGGCCUUCUCGGCUUGCCAUGGACCUGCCCCGCUGCAGCCCAGACCUCACGCCCCAAACCCAGGACAUCCAGAGCGGCGGAGACCGGAUUCCCAGACCGCAGGGCCCGUACACGCUGCGAGGAGGCUGCGCGGGGAAGGGCUGGGCGGAGCUCCGCAGGGGCGGGGACAGGUGAUUGGGUGGCACCGCCAGGGGCGUGGCCAGGGGCGGUGCUCCCGCCUGCCGGCGCGUUGGCUGCGGGGAUUACGUAAGGGGCGGAGCUGGGGUACGGAAACACACUCUUCUCUGGGAUUACGUAAGGAAACGCGAGCGAAGGAGAGGAAUCCCGCGAUAGGAGGCGGAGAGAACGGAGCUCCAGUCGGAAGUGGGCGGGGCUCUGAGCGAAGGCGGGAGGUGGAACGAGCGCGCCGGCCCAGGUGCGCUUCGGACGGCGGUUCUGGAGCAUGCUCUGCUGGGCCCGCGCCUGGGGGCUCCCCCGUAGGGGCCUCCGUCCCUGCAGUCCCAGCUUCUCCACGGGGCCCGUCGCACCCAGCAGCAGCGGCCGAGGCGGCGCCGAGCCGAGGUCGGUGCCUCUUUCCUACAAGCUUUUGGAUGGGGAGGCGGCCCGCCCGGCCCUCGUCUUUCUGCACGGACUCUUCGGCUGCAAAACCAACUUCAACUCUAUCGCUAAGGCCCUGGCCCAGCAGACAGGCCGGAGGGUGCUGACAGUGGAUGCUCGUAACCAUGGUGACAGCCCCCACAGCCCAGACGUGAGCUACGAGGCCAUGAGCCAGGACCUGCAGGACCUCCUGCCCCAGCUGGACCUAGUGCCCUGUGUCCUCAUUGGCCACAGCAUGGGAGGCAAGACAGCUAUGCUGCUGGCACUACAGAGGCCAGAGCUAGUGGAACGCCUGAUUGCUGUGGACAUCAGCCCCGUGGAGACCACAUCUAGCUCAGACUUCUCAACCUACAUGGCAGCCAUGAGGGCCAUCAGUAUCCCCGACAAGGUGUCCCGCUCCUCUGCCCGCAAACUGGCCGAUGAGCAGCUCAGCCCUGUCGUCCAGGACAUGGCUGUGCGGCAGUUCCUGCUCACCAACCUGGUGGAGGUAGACGGGCGCUUCGUGUGGAGGGUGAACUUGGAUGCCUUGGCCCAGCAUGUGGACAAGAUCAUGGCCUUCCCACCACGACAAGAAUCCUACCCUGGGCCAACCCUCUUCCUCCUCGGUGGAAACUCUCAAUAUGUGCCAUGCAGACCGUGCCUAAUGCUGGCCACUGGAUCCACGCCGACCGCCCGCAGGACUUCCUGGCUGCCAUUCGAGGCUUCCUGGCCUAAGAGUUGCUGGCCAAAGGGGACACAGAACCCCAGGCUUCAAGGCCCUGUCGUGUGCUCCACAUUUCUGCACGGAAGAACUCAGGCGGGCACUGAGGGCAUGAGGGUACAGAGGGUCAGACCUCAAGCUUUAAUGAAUAAAGACACUGUUCCCAAGGUCCUGGGCUGAGCUCGCUCACCGCCAUCGUCCCCACCGACCCAGGGGGAAUCGGACCCGCGGGGCCCUGGCAGUUCCGGGGUCCACGGGGUCUCCCAGAGUGCCCCUGGACUCUCUCUGCAGCUGACUCUCGACCCGCUGCCUCACCAGCUGCUGCAUGUCCUCCUGAGGGCAGGAGAGCUGAUUCAGGGCCCACUCGGUGCCCUUCUCCCCCUGCCUCCCAGGCCCGGCCAGCCUUCCCACCCUACCUCCCAGGCCUCCACCUCCUGCCUCAGUCUCAGUUUCUCCUCCAGGACCUCCAGCAGCUGGGCCUCCACAGCUCGCAACUUAGCUCUGCAUGUGUCCAGCUCAGCCUCCACUGCCCGCUUCCUGCAGACGACAGGGAGAGCAGCCUGAGGCUCAGGCCCUGCCGAUCUGGUUCUGGGCCCUGGGGCUGAGCAAGACUGAGCCCUGAGGGUGAGCCGCCCACUGCUCUCCCACCCCUGCAGGCAGCUGCCUCUCACUUGGCAAUGGCUUCAUCCCGCUCCUGGAGGACUUGGUCCAGCGAGGGCUCUGUCUGGGUGUCCCCCAGUGCUCCAGCCGCUUGGGAUUCUGGGGUCUGGUUGGGUGACAGAGGAGGGAGCCGUGAUCUGGGAUGAGGCCCCACCCUGGGACCUUCCACCCUGGCCUUGGUCCUGAUGCUGAUGUCAGGAGUGGGGGGGGUCUGGGACGUUCUGCACCCUCCCCCCAGUGCCCCAGUCUCGUGGACCUCGGAAGUAGAGCAGACUUCCAGACUGGACUGCCAUGCCGAGGGGGAGGUGUUUGGACCCCCCCAGCGGGGAAAGGAGUUCUCACCUGAUCCCCAGGAAAGAGACAAGGUGGGUUCAGAAGGACACUUACCUCUCGACGGCCCCAGACAGGUUGGCCUGGUGACUGGGACUCUUGUCAGCGGGGUGUGGCAGACAGAGGACAGGGCCCUUUGCCCUCCCUUCCGGGUAAGGCACUCCCGGUCAGGCCCCGCCCCCAGCAGGCCAGCCAGGCCCCUGCCUUCUCUUCUGGAUCCUGGAGCUCUGGCCAGACCCGGAGCUCCUCAGCCCCUUCCUGUCCAGUCACAUACAUCCCUCACCCCAAGGGGGCGCUCUACCCACAUCAGGAGAUGAGAAAGGAGGAAAAGAGCCAGGACUGCUCCCAUGCUGGGACACAGGUGUCCCAGACCCCCAUCCUGAAGAGCUGGCAUCUUGGAACCCUGAAUGGCAUCACCCACACAUAUAACUACAACCUUAGUUCAGAAAAUUAAAGGAAAAAAGUUUCAUCAUUCCUGGCAAAUUCUUCCUGACAUCUUGAAUGUCCAUCCUCCCUAGCAAUAUGGCUCAUUAUUCCUCCAACAUUCCCAACGUUCUGAUCCUUGAGCGUGGAUGGGUCCACUGUGCUCUGGGGGUGGGGGCAUGGGUCUGGGUAUCCCACACGUCCCUUAUGGUGACUGUUGAGCACACCACUGACAUCUAAGAUGUAAGAGGGAAUUUCCUCCAUUGAGAGGCCUCUUUAGCAAGGUUACUUCUCGAGGAUCAGGUCCUCAGGUCAGCCCUAAACAGUAAAUACUUUCUCCAAGACCCCCCAGGAAACCCCCUGCAGACCUGACUCCUGGUUGUUGUGGGUCCCACCCAGCCAGGUGUGCCUACAACAGCCAGACUCCACCGUUUGUUUGGUUGAACCCUAGGUGAAGAGGUGGGGUUGAGCUGUGCCCCCAAAGACACUGCUGUUGUGGAGGAGAUUCACUGUGUUUCCAGAGACUGCUCUGCGCGAUCCAGGCAGGACCCCCGGUCUAAGGGACCUCCAGGGCGAGCAGAGAUAAAGCACAGAUACAGUCAGAAAAGAGAGUCAGAGGCCUGGGGCAGUGGGGGCACAAAGGAGGCCCCCCGUGCCCAGACAGUCCCAGGAGUUCCGCAGGAGCUUGUCCAGAAUGCGUCCUGCAGGCUGGUGGGAGUCAGCCGGAAGCAGCGAGGCAUUUCGUUUAUUUUAACUUUUCAUUUGGAAACAACUUCAAAUUGCUCUUCAGUGUCCUUUUAGGGUAAAAGAAAAAAAAUCUAAUAUGGUACCAAGCAUUGUACCCAGUUGUCACAUCUCUCUGGUCUCCCUCAAUCUGGAACAAUUUGCAGCCUUACUUUGAAUUCAUGACCUUGACAUUUUUGAAGACUACAGGGAAGUUAUUUUGUAGACUGUCCUUCAGUUGGGGUUUGUCUAAUCUUUCCUCAUGAUUAGACCUCUAUUAGACAUUUUGGGCAGAAAUAUCACAGAAAUGGGGCUGUGUUCUUGUAUCCAGUAUCAUUUGGAACCAUGACCAGUGGUAUUAAUGUUGAUCACUUGAUCAUGAUUAAUAAGUAUUGGGGAACGGAGGUACUUUGAAGCUAUGAAACAUCCUUUCCUUCAUCCGACUUUCACCCAUAGGUUUCAGCAUCUGUUGAUGUUUUCUUGCCCAAAUUAAUUAUUACUACAAUGGUUCA